rnacentral:rRNA from 2 species
UGGGGAAUAUUGCACAAUGGGGGAAACCCUUAUGCAGCGACGCCGCGUGAACGAAGAAGGUAUUCGUAUCGUAAAGUUCUGUCCUAUGGGAAGAUAAUGACAGUACCAUAGAAGAAAGCUCCGGCUAAAUACGUGCCAGCAGCCGCGGUAAUACGUAUGGAGCGAGCGUUGUCCGGAAUUAUUGGGCGUAAAGGGUACGCAGGCGGUUUAAUAAGUCGAAUGUUAAAGAUCGGGGCUCAACCCCGUAAAGCAUUGGAAACUGAUAAACUUGAGUAGUGGAGAGGAAAGUGGAAUUCCUAGUGUAGUGGUGAAAUACGUAGAUAUUAGGAGGAAUACCAGUAGCGAAGGCGACUUUCUGGACACAAACUGACGCUGAGGUACGAAAGCGUGGGGAGCAAACAGG